rnacentral:rRNA from 1 species
AGGACGAACGCUGGCGGCGUGCUUAACACAUGCAAGUCGAGCGGAAAGGCCCUUCGGGGUACUCGAGCGGCGAACGGGUGAGUAACACGUGAGUAAUCUGCCCCUAGCUCUGGGAUAGCUCCGGGAAACCGGGAUUAAUACCGGAUACGACCACUUUAGACAUCUGUUGUGGUGGAAAGAAUUUUGGCUAGGGAUGAGCUCGCGGCCUAUCAGCUUGUUGGUGGGGUAACGGCCUACCAAGGCGACGACGGUAGC